rnacentral:rRNA from 1 species
CGGUAGAGAGAAGCUUGCUUCUCUUGAGAGCGGCGGACGGGUGAGUAAUGCCUAGGAAUCUGCCUGGUAGUGGGGGAUAACGUUCGGAAACGGACGCUAAUACCGCAUACGUCCUACGGGAGAAAGCAGGGGACCUUCGGGCCUUGCGCUAUCAGAUGAGCCUAGGUCGGAUUAGCUAGUUGGUGAGGUAAUGGCUCACCAAGGCGACGAUCCGUAACUGGUCUGAGAGGAUGAUCAGUCACACUGGAACUGAGACACGGUCCAGACUCCUACGGGAGGCAGCAGUGGGGAAUAUUGGACAAUGGGCGAAAGCCUGAUCCAGCCAUGCCGCGUGUGUGAAGAAGGUCUUCGGAUUGUAAAGCACUUUAAGUUGGGAGGAAGGGCAUUAACCUAAUACGUUAGUGUUUUGACGUUACCGACAGAAUAAGCACCGGCUAACUCUGUGCCAGCAGCCGCGGUAAUACAGAGGGUGCAAGCGUUAAUCGGAAUUACUGGGCGUAAAGCGCGCGUAGGUGGUUUGUUAAGUUGGAUGUGAAAUCCCCGGGCUCAACCUGGGAACUGCAUUCAAAACUGACUGACUAGAGUAUGGUAGAGGGUGGUGGAAUUUCCUGUGUAGCGGUGAAAUGCGUAGAUAUAGGAAG